rnacentral:rRNA from 1 species
AGAGUUUGAUCAUGGCUCAGAUUGAACGCUGGCGGCAGGCCUAACACAUGCAAGUCGAGCGGCAGCAGCAGGAGCUUGCUCCUGGCUGGCGAGCGGCGGACGGGUGAGUAAUGCCUAGGAAUCUGCCCUUUUGUGGAGGAUAACCCGGGGAAACUCGGGCUAAUACUGCAUAAUCUCUACGGAGCAAAGCGGGGCUCUUCGACCCUCGCGCAGAAGGAUGAGCCUAGGUCUGAUUAGCUUGUUGGUGGGGUAACGGCCUACCAAGGCAACGAUCAGUAGCUGGUCUGAGAGGAUGAUCAGCCACACCGGGACUGAGACACGGCCCGGACUCCUACGGGAGGCAGCAGUGGGGAAUAUUGGACAAUGGGCGAAAGCCUGAUCCAGCCAUGCCGCGUGUGUGAAGAAGGCCUUAGGGUUGUAAAGCACUUUAAGCAGGAAAGAAAAGCGCCGAGUUAAUAGCUCGAGCGUGUUGACGGUACCUGCAGAAUAAGCACCGGCUAACUCCGUGCCAGCAGCCGCGGUAAUACGGAGGGUGCAAGCGUUAAUCGGAAUUACUGGGCGUAAAGCGAGUGCAGGCGGUUGCGUAUGUCGGAUGUGAAAGCCCCGGGCUCAACCUGGGAAUUGCAUUCGAAACUGCGUAACUAGAAUAUGGUAGAGGAAGACGGAAUUCCACGUGUAGCGGUGAAAUGCGUAGAUAUGUGGAGGAACACCAAUGGCGAAGGCAGUCUUCUGGGCCAAUAUUGACGCUGA